UUAGUAGGUCAUGAAAACAAUUUAACGUGGGUCACCAUCUACAUUAAAAAAAUGAAUAGAAAAUAUCAGACUGCAUUGUAUGCAGCCAGACUAAGCAUUGUUUUGAGAUGCUCCCCCCUAUUUCAUACACACGCAUUUGUGCACUGGGACAUGAUACAAGGCUUUUUCUUUUUUCUUUUUUUGCCUAGGGCUGUAGAUAUAAAAGCUUGAAAACCAUUACUUUGAGAAUCUCUCUGUUGGGAAAAUGAGUCCCUUCAACUCUAGUUGACGCCACUGGGAUGCUAACAGAAAGCAAAUUCUCAGAGGAAAGAUGUGGCAUUCCUGCAGGUCUUCCAUGUACCAGGACUUCUAUUUGCUAGCCACUUUAUGUUCCUCAUCCCAUCCUUCUGUGAGGGACAUACUUUUCGGAUGAGAAACCUAAGCUCUGCGAAGCUAAGGGGAUGGACUGAGGUCCCACAGCAAGCGUGUGGAGGAGCCAGGAUCCGAACCCCAUCGCCAGCCCUUGCCAGUUCCAUGAUUCCGGUGCCAGCGCUCACCUGACCUCCAGGGCUGUCAUGGUGGGAAGGGACUGGAGGGCAUCUGCUGGGCAAAGGAAAGAGACAAACAUCAUCCCAGAGCCUGCCUUCCCUGGGCAAUACCCGGGCCACUCCAGACAUGGCGUCUUUAGCCCUUCCUUGGUCACUGGCCCCCAAGUGAAGAGAGCAUUUUUCUCUGACUCAAGUUCUUUCCUCUGGAUUUGCCAUGCUCCUAUGACAGUCUUCACCCUUCUGAAGCUCUCUCAGGCUCCCCUUCCAGAAAUCCCGCAGGUUCCACCAGCCUCUCUGAGAGCAUAGGCGAGUGGUUGAACGGUGGGCUUUAGAGAUGGCGCGGCACCAGAGUCCUGUGCUGGCUGUGUGAUCCUGAACCUCCUCACUGAGACUCUCAUCUGCAAGAUGGAGACAGACCUGCCUCACAGCGAGGGGGAAUCUGAAAAAGAUGUCUAGAGAGUGCCCAGCAUCAGGCUGGCCUGUCAGGGUACUUGGUCUCUAAGGCAGGCAGCCUCUUCCUUGGAACCGUCCCAGUGCAGGUGACACUCCUUCCUAAUGGAGCUGCCCUGUCCGAUGUCAACUAUAAGCACUCCCUGCAGUCUCCAACCGGGGUUCUAGUUCUAGUCUUCUGGACAGCUGUAGGACUCAGUUCAUUUAAAGAUCAUUGGUGUUGGACACAACUCUCGCCCAAUAAACAACUCAGCACUAGCUCCUCCUGGCUUAGGGGAGCAGCUCCUCUGCUUCCCCACAUGCUCUCCAGAAGGAUCGAGAGCGCCCCUCCCAGAAGAGUUCUAAAUGUCCCAGCUGAUGGCCUCCCAUAGACGUUCCACGCUGGCCACAGUUGCAGGCCUCAGAUGGGCAGCCAAGCCCAGUGCUGACCUGUGAGCUUCUCCACCUCUCUGCAUCAGGAGUCAGGUGGGGGUGCUGAACAGACCCUGCAGCAUGGCUCCUCCAGCAGUCUGGGCCCCAGGACAUCCCUUUAGCCCCAUUAGAUCCCUGGGACAGAGGCAAGGGCAGGGGGGAAGGGGAGGGAAGACCCAAGAGCAAUACAAGCAAUAGUCUCUCCUGUCCCAUGCCUUCGCACAUGCAGGGACCUUGCCACAAGUUCCCUUCCUCACCUGCGUAUCUGGGGAAUUCCUUUCCAUCUCUGAAGUCAUAGUUUAUGCUGUACCCCUGUGUGGUCUUCCCUGACGACCAGGCUUCACCACCAACUCAAAAUAAUCAGUCCCUUGCUCCUUCCUCCACCCUCAAGGAUCCACAUCCACAAAGAAAAUGUGCUACAUAUACACUGAUAUGGUUUGGCUGUGUCUCCACCCAAAUCUCUUGAAUUGUACUCCCAUAAUUCCCACGUGUUGUGGGAGGGAGAUAAUUUGAAUCAUGGGGGGGGCAGUAUCCCCCAUACUAUUGUUGUGGUAGUGAAUAAGUCUCACAAGAUCUGAUGGUUUUAUCAGGGGUUUCUGCUCUUGCAUCUUCCUCAUUUUCUCUUGCCGCCACCGUGUAAGAAGUGCCUUUCACUUCCUGCCAUGAUUCUGAGGCCUCCCCAGCCAUAUGGAACUGUAAGUCCAAUUAAACCUCUUUUUCUUCCCAG
rnacentral:lncRNA from 1 species